AUUGAACGCUGGCGGCAGGCCUAACACAUGCAAGUCGAGCGAGCGGCGGACGGGUGAGUAAUGUAUGGGGACUGCCCGAUGGAGGGGGAUAACUACUGGAAACGGUGGCUAAUACCGCAUACUAUCGGAUAACCCAUAUGGGAUUAGCUAGUAGGUGGGGUAAAGGCUCACCUAGGCGACGAUCCCUAGCUGGUCUGAGAGGAUGACCAGCCACACUGGGACUGAGACACGGCCCAGACUCCUACGGAGGCAGCAGUAGGGAAUAUUCAGCAAUGGACGAAAGCCUGAUCGAGCAACGCCGCGUGAGUGAAGAAGGUCUUCGGGUCGUAAAGCUCUGUUGUCAGGGAGGCGGUACCUAACCAGAAAGCAACGGCUAACUACGUGCCAGCAGCCGCGGUAAUUC
rnacentral:rRNA from 1 species